rnacentral:lncRNA from 1 species
GCCGAUGUGAGAUUUGUAACAAACAUUUUGUGUCUUUAUUUUCCAUAUUGUGCUUUGGCCCUUCAGGUAUGACUGGAAAAAUACUUGUAAUUCUGUUGAUUGGUUUCUUGGCAUUUGCUUAUCAAGCAAUUAAGCCACCUCCUCCGAAAAUUUGUGGUUACCCAGGAGGCCCUCCCAUCACUGCACCACGAAUAAAACUCUCCGAUGGAAGGCAUUUGGCGUAUAAGGAACAAGGUGUUCCGAAAGAUGAAGCAAAGUACAAAAUUGUGUUCAUCCAUGGAUUUGAUUGUUGUAGACAUGAUGUUGUUAUUGCCAGCACACUUUCUCAUGUAAUCCACUUGUUACCUUCUCUUUUCUCGCGAUCUUGUAGGCAGGGGGUGGAGGCGUGGAGCUAGGUAGGAAUAAGAAAUCGAGGUUCAAUUGUGUAUCCUAUUCAUCAAAAAAUUAUACUAUGUUUUGAAAAUAUUCUAGUGCAAUGGCAAAGGGGUCUAAAGAUGUGACAUUGUAGUUAGUUUCAUAAAUUCCUGAUUCCGACACCGUAGUUAUAGGUCACUAUAGAAUUUGUUUGUCGCUAAUUCUUAUGAUGGUGCAGGAUGUUAUUGAGAGUUUGGGAAUAUACAUUGUUUCGUUUGAUCGACCAGGUUAUGGGGAAAGUGAUCCUCAUCCACAACGAACGCCUAAGAGCUUAGCUCUCGAUGUUGAGGAGCUAGCUGAUCAAUUGAAAUUGGGAUCCAAAUUCUAUGUAACAGGAUUUUCCAUGGGUGGACAAGCAGUUUGGGGCUGUCUUAAAUAUAUUCCUCAUAGGUAAUGUAUCGGAAAUAGUCUCUCUACCUCUGAGGUCUGCGUACAAUCUACUCUUCCUGGACUCCACUUUAUGGGACUACGUUGUGUAUGUUGUUGUAAUAGAUGCUAUUUUGUCUGCAAAUUGUGUCAACUCACAUAACAAAUGUGUAACAGAUUGGCGGGAGCAGGGCUUCUAGCGCCUGUGGCUGGCAUAUGGUGGCCGGGUUUUCCUGCAAAUUUGACAGGAAAAUCAUACUACGAUAUGCCAGCCCCGGAUCUAUGGACAGUUCGAGUUGCUCACUAUCUUCCUUGGCUGACUUAUUGGUGGAACACUCAGAAGUUUUUCCCUUCUUCUAGCGUUGCAGCUCACAGCCCCAAUAUCUUUUCAACUGAGGACAGACAAUUAGCCCCGAGGUUUGAUGCCUCGCAAGAACCUUAUCGGGUGAGAACUUGAUUGUGUUAAUCUUGUUAGUAUAAUGUAGUACACAAGUUUAUAAUGAAUAGCUAUCGCGUAGUUGUAACAAGACUUCAAAUUAAUGCUCGAGUGUACGUUCCCCUUCUCUCGUGCCCUCAUUUUCCAUUGUUCGUUCAUUUGAAAAAAAGAACAUAAUAUAUGUUAAGGGAGAGCUUGAUGUUAAGUGCCUUUCUGAAACGACUUCCAAAAGUGUGUUGUUAACUGUGUCCCUCUAUCUGAAAUAAUGGAGACGGGCGUCCCAUGUAGUCUGUCUAUCUCCUUUAUGUACAACUUUGCAUAAUGUUCCGCAGUGUCAGUACUAAAAAAGCUAUUUCUAGUGUGCUAUAUUUGCUUGAUGUACAUUCUAUAUACUCUGUUAUUUUUAAAUUUUCUGUAUAUAACUGUAUAUUUUUAGUAUAUUACAUGUUUGAGUAUCGAAAAAAUGUUCAUUCAUGGCCUCAGGCACAAAUUAGACAACAAGGGGAGUUCGAGUCCAUCCAUCGUGACAUGAUAAUUGGAAUUAAGACAUGGGAAUUCGACCCUAUGGAUCUCAAGGACCCGUUCCCUAACAAUGAAGGCUUUGUUCACAUAUGGCAAGGGGAUGAAGACGGUCUUGUACCAGUCGUUCUGCAACGAUAUGUUGCAGAACGACUACCUUGGGUUCGAUAUCACGAACUUAAAGGUAGUGGUCACAUGUUUCCUUAUGCAGAUGGAAUGGGAGAUAAGAUUUUGAAGACAUUCCUACUUGGAGAGACCUUCGUUCUAUAAAUGUCUAUGCUGCUCGAACUCGUCAAAAAAUAUCUUUGAACAUGUGUCGGAUCAUCCAAAAUGAAUGUAUUUUUGGAGAAUCUGACACAAAUGCGACAAUAUUCUUUAAGGGUUCGAGCAACAUAGAUUAAAGUUCUCAUAACAAAUGUUCUUGCAAUUUAUAUGUACUCUAUUUGAAAAUUUAUUUUUUUUUGUUCUAUAUUUCAUUGUAUUGAGAUUUAGUCUCUAAUUCAAACAUCUUAUAAUUGAUAAAAUAAAAUUCAAUCACAUCGGAUUCGAUUUUUUAAUUUGAAUAAGUAUUGAUUUUCUCAAUCAAACUAUUAUAUAGUCAUAUUUUUUUUUAUAAUAAAUUAUCGUCCUAUGCACGUAAACAAAUAUUAAAAAUAGUAAAUGCAGAUAAAUCCAUAAGUAACUUAGUUUUACAAAGCUUUUCCGCAUUAGCAGAGUCGAUGAAACAACUUGUGAAGUAGACAAACAGUCUAUUCUGAUGUACUCACUGGUUGAAUAUGAAAUUUGGGUUGAAAACAACUUUAGACUAGGCAAUAUUUACUAACGUCAAUUCGAAAUAAGAAUUAAAAAUAUCAUCGUGUACACAAUUCUAAUCUUGAACGUACACGUAUAUCAAUAUAAUUGUGACAACAUACCGAUAUCGGUUUCAAUAAAUGUUAUCCCUCCGUCCCUAUUUAGUUGUGCACUUUAGAAAUGACAUACAGAUUAAGGCAACAAUAAUUUGCAUAGUGAAGUUACAAUUUUAUCCUUAUAGUACAAUUUACUUCCAAAAUAAAUUCACUCAAGAUAACUAAUCAAUGCUGAAAAGUUUAUAAGUUUAUUUACUUUAUUUAUGACAACUUUUCCCUUUAAAUAAGGGUAUAAUAGGAAAAAAAUUAUUGUCCUUUCUUGAUUUGUCAAAAUUGACAACUAAAUAAGGACAACUAAAUAGGGACGGAGGGAGUAGUAUAAGCCAACAAAUCUACAGGAAAACCCAACUUGACGAUGAAAACGAGGCACGACUUUGUUUGAAGCAGCCUUAAUAACCUAUAGACAGGGGCGGAGCAAGAGUGAUAGUUACGCGUUUAAUAGACUUCAAUAAUUUUAGUUUAAAUUUUAUGUAGAUUGGGGUGAAAUAAACUCAUUUGAAUUUUAUUAGUUUGCGUUUGAAAUUCUACUUAUUUGAUUUAUUGAGUUAUAAUUUAUUUUAAAUACUAAUUUAUAAAUUCUUUAAUCAUAUAAUACGUGUUUAAAUUAAAACUAUUGAAUUCAAAUGAGCUCGAAAUUAAUGUACUUAGGUAGGUCCCCCCUUGCCUGGGCAAGUUAUAAAUAGGGUUGGCGGCUAGUGUAUUUAUUUCGUCAUUUAAUAUUAUAAUAAAUAAAUAUUUGUUUCAAAUCAAACAAUUAAUUCUGCAUAUAAAAUAUAUUUUUUAAAAUAAAAAUAAUAUUGUGUAUAUUAUGCUACAAGAAGAUAUACUUUUUAAAUUCCCAAACCUUUAAUGCUAGCUGUCGUAGCCUGCCAAUUAAUUAAGUUGAGAAUUAUUGUUUCUCUUUUUGUUUUGGUCUCUCUCUUGUUAUUAUACUAGAUAAUGUUGUCCGUGCUAUGCACGGGUCGAAUAAUAUAAAUAGUAUAUUUUGAGGCUAAUAACGGAGUUUUUGAAGCGACUGUUUGCGUAGAUAAAGGAAUAAGUUUUUUUAUUACAAACAUGUACUUUCUUUGACGCUAUUUAAGAAAUAAUAAGACUACCCACAUAUAAUAUUUUUGAAAUAUUUUAUGUUGUCAAUUAUCAUGAUUUAUAGUAUUUUUACGAUAAAUUCACUUCAAGAAUUAGUGGAAAUUUUUGUGUUUUUUUCAAAACAUAUUUGAUGUUGUCAAUUAUCAUGAUUUAUAGUAUUUUUACGCAAUUUUUAAAUAUAAAAAACACAAAAAAAAAAAAUAAGACGAAUAAAUUAAAAUGGACCCAAUAUAUGUUAUUUUUGUUGUCUCAAUUUAUGUGACACAAAUAAAAUUUGGAGAGUCAUCCAAAUUUUCAUAUUUUUUUUAAAAAUGUUUUAAGUUAUUAAUUAUUGUGAGUUAUUAAACUCCCUUUUAUUAUAUAGUAGAAUAUAAUAUAUAUAUAUAUAUAUAUGUCAUAAAUAAAAAAGUCCCAAUCUUGAAUAUUAUAUAUUAUACUUGGACCUAAACUCCCUUUUAUUAUAUAGUAGAAUAUAAUAUAUAUAUAUAUAUAUAUGUCAUAAAUAAAAAAGUCCCAAUCUUGAAUAUUAUAUAUUAUACUUGGACCUAAACUCCCUUUUAUUAUAUAGUAGACAAAAUAUAUAUAUAUGUCACAAAUGGAAAAGUCCCAAUGUUGAAUAUUAUAUAUUAUACUUGGGCCUAAACUCCCUUCUAUUAUAUAGUAGAACUUAUUAUUUGAUUUGAUAUUAUUAUUCUUUUUAUAAUCAUCUGAUAUUUGAAAUUUAACAUUGAAUUUUAAUUUGCCUUGUUUAAGAGCAAAACGAUUUUUAGGUCAUCAUUUAGAUAUUGUUCUUCUAAACAAUAUUGUCCAACUUUAUAGACAAAAAAUUAGGUUGUUGUCUAAUAUUAGUAAUAACUUACAACAUUGUCGAUCAUGAUUAAGCAUUUUCUUAUAAGAAAUUUAAUUUAUUUAUAGUGAAAUGAUGAAUUUAUUUCCUCGUCUUGUUGAGUAUGUAUUGAAGACUUAGUCUUCGAUACACGAUUGAAAAUCCUCAAUUUCUGACUGCUAAAAAGGGAAAAGGACGAAGAAAAAAAAAAGACAAAGUAAGGAUCAUAAAUACGAUAUUUGAAUUAAUAGAAAACUUUUUCUUUGAUAUGAAUUUUUAAAAAAUGGGAAAAAAAAGAAGCUAAAAAGGACGUCCCCUUCCACACACACAAUUAUAUAAACACACAAAAGAUAUAGAAAUCAUUUAAGAGUUUCCAAAAAAAAGUUUGAAAAUUAAAUUGAAGUUUGAGGUUUUUGUUUGUUGUUUCAAGUUCGUGAAUCUAAAAGUUAGUUAUGAAAAUAUCCUAUAGGAUAUAUGCGUUACUUUCUGCGGUUGAUCGAAAAGAAUCUAAAGGUUCGUUUUUGUUAUUACUUAUUCUCUAGCUACUUAAAUUUAUCUUUUUUUUUUGUGAAUCAAAGUGUUUGCAAUAAUUAUAUUUGAUAUAUUUAUAUAAUUAUUAUUCAAUAAUGAAGUGAUUUGUUGUCAAACUUUAUAUAUUUUCUAAUUAUGUUAUUUUGGCACUUGUUAGAUUUCAAUAUAAUCAAUUACUUAGAUACACUUUAAUUUAUAAUAUUAUGACUUCUAUCAGAUUUUGGUGCAUUCAGAUACGUCUAGGUUCAUGUAUCUCGGAAUACAUGGAGUCAAAAUUAGGUGUAGUUUGUUCUUAGAUACACUGUAUCCAAACGAAUUCGCAUGUAUCUGAGAUUCAUAACAAAUCCCGCUCCACAUCUCUCCCAUCUCGAUCGCCACUCUCCUAUGUAUCUGAGAUACAUGACUAUCUCGCUGGCCUCUCUCCCUAUUUUAAUUUAUCUGGUAGCAAAAAAAAUAAAUAUCUAGGUGUAUCUUAUGUAAUAUAUAAUAGGAAAUUCUUAAUUAGUGAUAAGAUAUGUAAUUAUUUGAGAUAUAGGUCUAAUUAGGUAGUUUUCAGUAUAAUUAGGAAAUUUUUUAACUAAUGUGCUUUAGAAAAAUUAAAAGAAAUUGCUAAAUUAAAAAAAAUGUUUCUUAAUUAACCAAAUCUAUUUUGUAUUUUGUGUGUACGGCUAAUAAUGGUCAAAACAAAAUCAAUUGCAAAUUUUUGUGACGUAGUCCAACAUUUUUUUACAAGAUUUAUAUUCUUAAGUCACAAGAGAAAUAUAAAAAAAAAACUAAUUUACUAAAUACUAUCUCAAAAAAAAUCGACAAAAAAUUCAUAAUUUAAAUUAAUCAAACCAUAAAACAGAUCGAGCCAUAAGCCGAAAAAUAAAAAAUAAUAGUGUGUAGCAUAUUAUUUUAGGGUUUGGAAAGAUUUUGUCAUGACAAUAAAAUCCAACAUGUGUUCCAUACUCAAGACAUAUAUUCUUUAUCUGUCAUAUUUAAUUCUCCUAAAAAUUGGAUUAUAGUGGACAAUGAUAUGAUUUAUUUAUAUUUAUAUAAUAAUAUAAUUAAAUAAAAUAUAUUUUAUUGUAUAUCAGAAGAGUUUUCAAAAGCAUGAGAAAUCUGCAAAUCAUCUACAAGUUGUGUUACUUUUUUUAAUGUCACAUAUUGUGUAAAAUAAUCAAAUGUAAAUGUCAGAAAAUGUCUAGAAAGUAGAAAGCAUUGGAAAAAAGAAACAUAAUUAAAGACAAAAUGAAAAAGAGGUAAAAAGCAUAUUUGACUUGAUGUUAAAUUGUGAUAAAAUGGUUAGUACUCAUUCAUUUUUAAUCAAAAGUCUCAAAUUCAUAUCUUCUCAUAUAUAGAGUUAUAUUUAUUAGAGAGUGCUUUAUUCCUUAACGUAGAACUUCUCAGUACAAAUCAAAAUUUAAUCGAACUUCAAUAUAAUCAUUAAACACCGAGUACAAUUGAACCAUCUUUUGAGUUAAAAUUCAAAAAAUAAAAUAGUGAAACCAAAGUCUUGAAGUGGCGGCUUAGAGAUGCCGGCCCAAUGCCAUAAUCAAUAUAAAGUUUAAUCAUUUCCAUAAUGACGUCUACAUAUAACAUAGAAAUAUUUGACAUAUUUAAAUACUUAACAAUUACUAGUAAUAUAUUAUUUUUUACUAGAGCGACGUUUCGGUCGGUUUAUUUUGAUUUUAUAGUUUAUUGAUUUAAUUUAGCGGUUAUUAAAUUGCUAUACAAUCUUUAAGAUAUUGAUUUAUCGAUCGUUGCUAUUGAUAGUUAUCGGUUUAACCGUUCAGAUUUGACAUAAAAAAAGUCACUAAAAAACGCUUAGAAAUAAGAUGGAAAGCCAAAUGAACAAUGCACAAGAAUUGAGAGAUUGUAUCUUGCUCAAAAGCAAAUACUAACACAUUGUAGAAUAAUCAAGAACUUGAGAGACUACAAAAAAAUAAAAGUAUGAAACUAAACUCUUAAUCAAAGACUUUAUAUACUGAAUGACAUAAAUAUAAUUUAUUAAUUUACUAUCGAAAUAUCAAUUAACUCAUUAAGAAAAUUUUCAAACCAUUAAGAAUCGAUAAUCUAAUAAUAAAAAAAUUAAAACUAUUACCGAAACCGCUAAAUCAAUAACUCAGGGUCCUUUGAGAGUACUACAUUCUUCUUCAUUCUCAAGAGUAAUCCAUUAAAUAAGAUUUCCUAUCUAAAAGUGGGAUCUUCUUUGGUAACCAAAGGGCAGAGUGCACAUGGUGUUGGCCAAAUUUAUUAUGUUUUAAUUUAUGUGCUAUUUAUUUAUUAUCGAGAUCAAAUUUUAUAAUUUUUAGUUAAUAUUUUUUUAAAAUAAAUUGAGUUAAUAAAUAAAUAAAUUAUUGACCCGAUAAGUUGACCUUAUGUCGUGUUUCAUGGGUUAAUUUUAUCAGUCACAACUCACAAGUCCUAUGACCUUUUUAUUUAACGUGUUUCACAAUCAUAUCUCCAAAGCAUGUUAAUCUCUCUAUGGUUUGAAUGAAAAUAGUCUAAGAAUAAUGAAAAAAAUAAAAUAAUUUUUGAAUUUUUGUGAUCCUUUAUAUUAGAAAAGUGUAAAACACGUUGAAUGAAAAGUACUCCAAAAUACUUCAAAAUAUGUGACACAUUAAUUAUGUUAAACGAAAAAUGAUUUCUAACACAAAUUAAUUUAGUCAAAUAUGAUUAAUAUAAUCGAUGAAUAUUAAAGAUUUAUAUAGUUAACUCUAAUUUUUCGUUGACAUGUAUACAUAAAACUAUUUAUUGCUUAUACAUCUACAUUUCAUUUAAUUACUACUAGACAUCUAAAUUUCAUUUAAGUAUUCAUCAUUAAAUUAAUAUCUCAAUUUGCGUGAUGAAGAAUUUCUUAAUUUGACUAGUACAAUUUUUUCCAAGGCCAAGUGGUCCAUAUAGCAUACUUCCCCAUUUUUUUAUGUUAUUUGAUUUGACAUGAUCAAUUAUUAUUAUUAUUUUAAAAAAAAAAGAAUUUUAAAAUUUUAUAAUCUCAAUUUAAAAAUAGCUAUAACAUAUUAAAACAUUAGUUGAAUCUUAUGAUUUUAACAUAUCAUGUGACCAAUAUGGAUUGUGGUGCACUGAUGAGAGUGUUUCACCCUUAAUCAGAGGUCUCGGAUUUGAGCCCUGAUUAUGGAUAAAAUCAUGUUGAGAGCAUCACCCCCAAAUAGGCCCUGCAAUGCCUAAUCCAAAUUUAGUCGAAGCCCCAAUGUGGACUCCAAACAUCGAGUGAGAAACCAAAAAAAACAUAUCAUGUGCAAUUAUUAUAAUUUAUAUUCCCUCUGUUCUUAAUUACUUGUCCACUUUUGAAUUGACACAUCUAUUACUAAAACAAUUAAUGACACAAUGAGAUUACUAUUUUAUUCCUAUUAAUUAUGAAGUGAUGAAUUAAAAACUUAAGAUUUUCAAGAAGUUCUAUCUUUUUCAAAGUAAUUAAUUGAGGGUAUAAUAAGUAAAAUUAUUUUAUUUCUUGAUUUUGUCAAAAUGAACAAGUAAUUAGGGACAACCAAAAAAGGAAAAGUGGACAAGUAAUUAAGGACAGAGGAAGUAACUUAGUACUCCUUCUGUCCCUAAUUACAUGUCCACUUUUGUUUUUAUAGUUGUCCCUAAUUACUUGUCCAUUUUGAUAAAUCAAGAAAGGACAAAAUAAUUUUACUUAUUAUACCCUCAAUUAAUUACUUUGAAAAAGAUAGAACUUCUUGAAAAUCUUAAGUUUUUAAUUCAUCACUUCAUAAUUAAUAGGAAUAAAGGGUACAAUGGUAAAUUCACUAUGUCAAUAAUUGAUUUCUUAAUAGGUGUGCUAAUUUAAAAGUGGACAAGUAAUUAAGGAAAGAGGGAGUAUUUGAAAACAUAAAUUUCAUAACCAAGAAAAUUUUUUAUCUCCUCAACCAAAAUUCAAAUAUUUAACUCUAAAAAUUCGACGUUUGCCUACAAUAAAUUGACACAAAAAAUAUUAAUUCACUUAAAAUAAAAAGCAAAAGACGUAAAUAAGUAAUAAUAAAUAAAAUAAAAUGCAUACAUUGAUAUUAUCACCCCCUCAUAUUCCUAGGUGAACCAACUGCAUAGUGCACAUGGGGUUACAACUGACAAGUGUAUAACAAGUUGACCUUGUAUUUAUUAGGGGCGGAUUCAAUAUCGAUUUUAUUUAAAUUAAUUAAAAUAUAAAAUAUAUCUUUUAUUAUUGAAAAUUAGGAAAUAAAUAUAUUUUCUUUAUUCUAAUUAAUAUGAUAAUAUUUGAUUGAACAUAUAUAAAGUUCACUUAAAAACAACUUUUCAAAUACAUGCUUUAAGAUAAGAGAAAGAUACUUUAUAGCUAUAAUGAGAAGUUUAAAAUUAAAUUAUUUUUAAAUUUAAAAAUAUAUCAUUCUAUUUAAGACAUACAAAAACAAAUAUAACAUUAGAUAAAUUUGGGAAAAAUCAGGGAGUAACAAUCAGUACUAUUUUUAUUUCAAUAUAUGAGAUACACUUACCUUGCUAUUUUGUUUUUAAAAAGAAAGAUAUCUUCCUGUAUUUAGAAAUAAUUAAUUCCUCUAUUCAAUUUAUAUAACGCUAUUCAGAUUUUGAGAGUCAAACAGUCUAAAUUUAAUCGUGAAUUCAAACAUAAAAAAUAUUAUAAAUUUUAAAAAUAUAUUAAAAAUUCUUAAAAGACGAAUUUAUAAAGUUAAAAUUCUGAAUCCGCCAAAUACAUGUCUAUUAGUCAAACCAUGUAGCUCUUCUCUCUUCUAGAUCUUUUAUAACUCCUAUAAAACAAGGGCAUCUACAAGAGUCACCACUAUUAUUUCACUAAGUUCACAAAAAUGGCAGAGUCCCCUACUACCUCAGGUUCUUUCUUCUUCAUUUUUUUCUUUUUUUUUUCUUCAUAUAUAUUUGAAAUGCUGCUAUAUUUUUAUUGGAGAAACAUAGUCUAAGCAUUUUUAUGUGGAAAAAACUUGUGAUUUUUUUUUUUUAUUUAGCUUUAGUUGUUGGUUGUAAUAUGUUUGAAUUAAUAAGAGGAAGGUCUUGUGUUGCAUCCCUCAAUUUGCUUCAAAGGAAAGUGUCUAGCGGUUAAUGAAAUGAGUGAAAAUUACGAGAAUUUGGUGUUUAAAAUUUCAGUGGAGACAAAAAUAUGUCAAGUCAAUAUCUUUUCAUAUGUCUAGAUCUUAGUAGUAACAUAUAUGAUAGUUGAGAUGCGAGCAAGGUGAUAAAAAAAUGUAAAUGCACAAAAUUCUUCUUGUUAUUUAAUUUUAGUAACGGUCACUUUGAACACCUAGACUAUUCUAUCGGGUACGUACUAUCUCUAGAUUAUCAGUACAUGUACCGAAUAACUCUAUCCUCCAAUAUUUAAUUAGUCAGAUGGAAAGAUAUGACCUUUUCAUUUUAUCUUUUUCGUCUGAUUCUUUAUUUAUCACUAGACCACACGUCUUUAAUGCCAAUGUCAAAAAUAGUUAUACUGGAGGUAGGUAAAACAUUUAUAACUGUCAUUCAUUCAAUUUAUUGCAAUCUUGAUGGAAUUGUUUCAUUUUUUUUUUAAUUUUGCUUAUUUAUGCAUUGUUAAUGAAAAUUUUAACUUGUUUUCUUGAUUUUUAGCUCUAAAAAUUAGUUACUAAAUUUGUAACCAUUUCAGGUAUGACUAGGAAAAUUCUUGUACUUUUCUUGAUUGGAUUGUUGGCAUAUGUUUAUCAAGCAAUUACACCACCUCCUCCGAAAAUUUGUGGUUCCCCCGGUGGCAAUCCCAUCACUGCACCACGAAUAAAACUCUUCGAUGGAAGGCAUUUGGCGUAUAAAGAGCAAGGUGUUUCGAAAAAUGAAGCAAAGUACAAAAUUGUGUUCAUCCAUGGAUUUGAUGGUUGUAGACAUGAUGUUGUUAUUGCCA